GACGAACGCUGGCGGCGUGCUUAACACAUGCAAGUCGAACGGAAAGGCCCUGCUUUUGUGGGGUGCUCGAGUGGCGAACGGGUGAGUAACACGUGAGUAACCUGCCCUUGACUUUGGGAUAACUUCAGGAAACUGGGGCUAAUACCGGAUAGGAGCUCCUGCUGCAUGGUGGGGGUUGGAAAGUUUCGGCGGUCGGGGAUGGGCUCGCGGCUUAUCAGCUUGUUGGUGGGGUAGUGGCUUACCAAGGCUUUGACGGGUAGCCGGCCUGGGAGGGUGACCGGCGACAUUGGGACUGAGAUACGGCGCAGACUCCUACAGGAGGCAGCGGUGGGGAAUAUUGCACAGUGGGCGGAAGCCUGAUGCAGCAACGCCGCGUGCGGGAUGACGGCCUUCGGGUUGUAAACCGCUUUAGCCUGUGACGAAGCGUGAGUGACGGUAAUGGGUAAAGAAGCACCGGCUAACUACGUG
rnacentral:rRNA from 1 species